rnacentral:rRNA from 1 species
AUUGAACGCUGGCGGCAGGCCUAACACAUGCAAGUCGAGCGGUAGCAGGCCUUCGGGCGCUGACGAGCGGCGGACGGGUGAGGAACACGUAGGAAUCUGCAUCGUAGUGGGGGAUAGCCCAGAGAAAAUUGGAGUAAUACCGCAUAUGCCCUGAGGGGGAAAGUGGGGGACCGUAAGGCCUCAAGCUAUGAGAGGAGCCUGGGUCGGAUUAGCGAGUUGGUGAGGUAAGAGCUCACCAAGGCGACGAUCCGUAGCUGGUCUGAGAGGAUGAUCAGCCACACUGGGACUGAGACACGGCCCAGACUCCUACGGGAGGCAGCAGUGGGGAAUAUUGGACAAUGGGCGAAAGCCUGAUCCAGCCAUGCCGCGUGUGUGAAGAAGGCCUUCGGGUUGUAAAGCACUUUAAGUGGGGAGGAAAAGCGGUACGUGAAUAUCGUGCUGCCGUGACGUUACCCACAGAAUAAGCACCGGCAGACUCCGUGCCAGCCGCCGCCGUAAUAC